UACGAAGGGGGCUAGCGUUGCUCGGAAUUACUGGGCGUAAAGGGCGCGUAGGCGGAUAGUUUAGUCAGAGGUGAAAGCCCAGGGCUCAACCCUGGAAUUGCCUUUGAUACUGGCUAUCUUGAGUUCGGGAGAGGUGAGUGGAACUCCGAGUGUAGAGGUGAAAUUCGUAGAUAUUCGGAAGAACACCAGUGGCGAAGGCGACUUACUGGACACAUAUUGACGCUGAGGUGCGAAAGCGUGGGGAGCAAACAGG
rnacentral:rRNA from 1 species